UACGGAGGGGGCUAGCGUUGUUCGGAAUUACUGGGCGUAAAGCGCACGUAGGCGGCUUUGUAAGUUAGAGGUGAAAGCCCAGGGCUUAACCCUGGAAUUGCCUUUAAGACUGCAUCGCUAGAAUCGUGGAGAGGUGAGUGGAAUUCCGAGUGUAGAGGUGAAAUUCGUAGAUAUUCGGAAGAACACCAGUGGCGAAGGCGACUCACUGGACACGUA
rnacentral:rRNA from 1 species